rnacentral:rRNA from 1 species
UAAGGAAUAUUGCACAAUGGGGGAAACCCUGAUGCAGCAACGCCGCGUGAAGGAAGAAGGUUUUCGGAUCGUAAACUUCUUUAGUCUGGGAAGAAAAAAAUGACGGUACCAGAAGAAUAAGCCCCGGCUAACUACGUGCCAGCAGCCGCGGUAAUACGUAGGGGGCGAGCGUUAUCCGGAAUUACUGGGUGUAAAGGGUGAGUAGGCGGUUUUUUAAGUCAUGUGUGAAAGCCUGAGGCUUAACCUCAGCGAGCACAAGAAACUGGAGAACUAGAGUAUGGGAGAGGUAAGUGGAAUUCCUAGUGUAGCGGUGAAAUGCGUAGAUAUUAGGAGGAACACCAGUGGCGAAGGCGACUUACUGGACCAAAACUGACGCUGAGUCACGAAAGCGUGGGGAGCAAACAGGAUUAGAUACCCUGGUAGUCCACGCUGUAAACGAUGAAUACUAGGUGUCGGGGUGAGAGCCUCGGUGCCGUAGCUAACGCAAUAAGUAUUCCACCU